GUAGAAGACUGAAAACAACUAUGGGGAAAAUUCUUCCCAUGAUUGUAAUGAAAUUUAUGAGACAAUGAUAUUAAAUUCUUUAAAUCAAUUGUAACGUGAUCAAAUAGCAGUAGUAACAGGCUUCAGACCAUGGCUUGAGUUUUAAGGUUAAGCUUCUUUCCAGAAAGCAAAAAUAAUUGCAUCUUUCUGUGCAAUGACUGACUUGGGUGACAGAUCUCUGCCUGCAACUUCUCUGCCCAGUUGUCAGGUUUGGUCCCUCCUGGCGUACCGGAGAUCCGUGAAGCAGCGGCCGUUUGCUCCUCGAAUUCUUUAACAGGAAUUUGGUUUCGGCAUCCGACUUCACUGCGCGAACAGAAGUGGUGGAGGGAAGGCACACCGUAAACCACCGCUUUCUUCUGUGACUCAAGACGAACAUGGGAAGGGGUGCAGCUGGAGACAGAGUCUCUAAGGAGGCUAUCUCUAACAAGGGCAAUGGGAGACAGUUCGGACUGGGAAGCUGCAGAGUGCUGUGCUGCCUGGUGUUUGACUUGCUGCUGCUGUUUCCCCCAGGCUGCCCUCUUGCUUCGUUUUCAUCAGGCUGUGGUGUCCUUGGUCCGAGCGCUCCUCUCCCGUGUAGGAGGUGAACCACAGUGUACUGAGACCACAGUGAAUUGAGCAAUGGCAUGAACAAAGCAAACUGUGGGAUGAAUGUCACCAGAUGUGUAAUGGUUAAAACUGGUUCAGAUUAAAAUAUCAGCUUCAGGA